rnacentral:snRNA from 1 species
AAGUGUUACCGCUCUUUUAGAAUCUGUCUAGCAGGUUUUCUGGGUUUUUUUCCAGACCCCA